ACAUUGUGGGGGCCCACUCCAUGUGAUGUUUGCUUGGUUGCCUGUUCCCUUUUCUACCUGCAGAGCACGGUUCCCAUAAGGGCGGCGAGAUCAGCCUCCUGUCUCAUCUGGAAGACCACCACUCUGGGGUCUCAGAGGAAUGAUGGAAGCCUUGGGGUUUCUAAAAUUGGAAGUGAAUGGCCCCAUGGUGACGGUGGCCCUGUCAGUGGCUCUCUUGGCCCUCCUGAAAUGGUACUCCACAUCAGCAUUCUCAAGACUGGAGAAGUUAGGCCUCAGACAUCCCAAGCCUUCUCCUUUCAUUGGAAACUUGACAUUUUUCCGCCAGGGUUUUUGGGAAAGCCAAAUGGAGCUCAGAAAGCUGUAUGGACCUCUGUGUGGGUAAGAAGGAAACUCAACGUUUCUAUUAUGUACGAUAUUUUCUAUUAUGUACGAUAUUUUGAUUUUCACGUGUUGAACUGAUAUAGAAGAAAUGCCAAGAUUAGGAAUGUUGUAUGUGUUUCUAUUUUUCAAAGGGCCCACAAAGAGGGAGUCCUGCAGUACAGACAAGGCUUCUAGAGAAGACCCUGGGGUUGCCCACGGGGGGACUCUGCUGGCCUGAAAGAGUACCACUUUCCAGCCUUUGCAGCCUUGCUG
rnacentral:lncRNA from 1 species